CCUACGGGUGGCAGCAGUGGGGAAUAUUGGACAAUGGGCGCAAGCCUGACGCAGCCACGCCGCGUGUAGGAAGAAGGCUUUCGGGUUGUAAACUUCUUUUCUCGGGGACGAAGCAGGUGACGGUACCUGAGUAAUAGACCGCGGCUACCUACGUUACAGCAGCCGCGGUAAUACGUAGGUGGCAAGCGUUAUACGGAUUUGCUGGGAGUAAAGGGCGUGCAGGCGGGAAAGCAAGUCAGAUGUGAAAGCCCUGGGCUCAACCUGUGGACUGCAUUUGAAACUGUUUGUCUUGAGUACUGGAGAGGCAGACGGAAUUCCGAGUGUAGCGGUGAAAUGCGUAGAGAUGAGGAGGAACACCAGUGGCGAAGGCGGUCUGCUGGACAGCAACUGACGCUGAGGCGCGAAAGCGUGGGGAGCAAACAGGAUUAGAUACCCUAGUAGUC
rnacentral:rRNA from 1 species